rnacentral:lncRNA from 1 species
CUAGGCCUAAUCCAAAUUGAACGUUAAUUUCGAUAAAGUUGUUGGUUUUCUCGUAAAACCACCUGUUAAAAAAACAACAAAAAAACAAACAAAGUGAUUCCCUUUUUAAAACUUAGUUUUGGGAUUUUUCUAAUUCCAAGUGUUUGCUACUCUAGUAGGUACUCUGGAUCCGUUUCAUCCAAAAAUCGAUUAAUUGAGUGGGAAACUAAUAUUUAUUCGAAAUUAGCUUCUCAUUUUGGUUGUAAUAGGUUAAGUUUUAUUGAAUUCCAAGUCAAAAUUGCCGAAUUUUUAUGCAAUAAGUCGGUCUUAAAAUGUCGGGCUUAAUUAAUAAAGUAAUACUAGAUAUCUUAUCAAUAGAUGGCUACACUGUUUAGUGGAUCGUCUGCAAUGGAAAUUCACCGCUCAUUAGAUGAAGCCUAGUGUUAGCUGUUAGGGAUUUGAGACGUGUUCAGCGAGGAGUUAAUGAAUGUUCAGUGCGUUCCGUUUUAAAUAUUCUUUUUGCUACUCGUCAAGACACGGAAAUUUGCCAUUUUUUCGUACCAACCUGAGGGACACUUUUGCACGACACACGAUUGUUUGAAAGUUGAUUUUUCACAAAACGUCAUUUGAAUGUGCAUUUCCUAUCUGCAGUCCCCAGUCCUACAGUGUGCAAAAAUAGGCAGUUGAAAAAGUCUGCUUAUUGUGCUAAUCUGCUCAAUGCCGGCAACAUGACUACACAGUAUAAAAAUACUCUUCCCUUAAGGAAAUUUGCAGCUGUGGACUUUCUUUAGAUGACUCUUUUAUCGGAAAUAUUUUCCUGCUUCUUGGAACAAGGAACAUAGGAUGUCUUGAUGCCAACCAAGUGUCAUUGGAAAGAUUUUAAAAAGUUGUUAAAGUAUUUGACAAAAGUGUAAUCAUGUUAAUAAAGGGAAUUUUUUGGUAUUCUUAAAUUAGCAGGAGAAACCUAAAGUUGGAGGAUGAAACAUUUGUCUCCUGUUGCUAGCUUUGUAAAACAAAUGGGGAGAUUGUUUCCAAAUCUUCAGCUUCCCAUGCAGACACCCAUCCACAAAGCCCUGGGUGAUAGAUGAUAUUCACAGCGUGCACGACUACGUUGUAAAUUGGUAUCACUUUUACAAAGCCAAACAGCAGAUUUAGAUCACGCGUCUACUGUGAAAGAGAUCAUGCUGUGUCUCAACGAAAAUGGCUCUCUCGACGAAAAUGCCGACUCGACGAUUUCCAUGCAAGAUUAAUGUUAAAAAUUCAAAGAGAUCUGAUGAGCAGGAUGCAACGUACUGUCAUGUCAAACCAUUAGCUGAAUACAAUGAAUACCAUUAGUUCCCCAGAACGAGAGGUUAAUAAUCAUGCUGAAUCAAAAGAGACAUCAAGUUAAACGAGAUUU